GUCUAUGGCCAUACCACCCUAACAGUGCCUGAUCUCAUCUGAUCUCGGAGGGCCUGGUUAGUAUUUGAAUGGGAGACCGCCUGGGAAUACCGGGUGCUGUAGGCU
rnacentral:rRNA from 1 species